AUUAAUUAAAAUAACGAUGCGCACUUAGAUUAUAGAAAUGUUAUAGAAGAUAUAAAAAAGAGAGUUGAAAAAGAUGUCUUAAUAGGUCUUGAAGAUGAUAGCGAGUUAGACGAUGACAUAUACGUAAAAGUUAAAGAUGCAAGACCAUAUUAUCGUUGGACUAACACUGCCAAGGUGCUUCUUCCAUUUGUUCCCAUUGCUAUUCGAAUGUUUGAUGACGCAAAGAAGCAGUGAAGAUACUCCACUUAGAAGCCCUUAAAAUAAACUUUAUGAAGAAUAUAUAAUUUUAAUGUCUUAA